rnacentral:tRNA from 1 species
GGGGGCAUAGCUCAGUGGUAGAGUCCAUUCUUAGCAUGCACGAGGUCUGGGUUCAAUCCCCAGUACUUCCA